UAUUAAUUUGUAAACGAUCUCACUACUAUUGUAACGUUUAGUCCGUCCUUACUAGUGUGCUCCACGUUCUUUCUCAGGUCUAUGGACUCAUCCCUGUCCGACGAUCGGUCCGCCAAAUCUAAGAGGUUUUAAAGACUUGUUAACGAUCCUACAAAUCACUAUACGAUAUUUCAUCAUGUUUUAUCCUCAUUUACAUGGUUCUGAUAAUCAUUUCUCGGAAGGUCACCUAUCUUAAAACUACUUCGACUCAAACACGUUUAACUGUGGAGUUCUCCGCAUAAAUUAAUUAUUUUAUUCUCUAUAAAAGUUAUAGAAAUGGUCUCGUCAUUGUACUGAUUGACAUCAUCAACUGGAGAGACAUCAACUUUGGGAGCUGCCAAUCUCAGAAGAAGUUUAUCUCCUUUACAUGCCGAGGUGGAAGCUCUCCUCUGGGCGAUGAAGUGUAUGAUUGGUGCCGACAACCAAGAUGUAGUUUUUCUUACAGACUGUUCAGAUCUGGUGGAGAUGGUGUCUUCCCCAACCGAAUGGCCGGCUUUCUCAUCGUAUUUGGAGGAGUUACAGAGCGACAAGGAUGAGUUCACAAACUUUUUUCUAUCUUUAAUCUCUCGUAGUACUAAUGUUAAAGCGGAUUUUUUGGCACGAAAAGUUCGUACCCAACCGCUUCAUAUUACAUCUGUAAACAACAUUCCUCAGGAUUGGCUCGUUUGAGUCCUAAUUAAUUUUCGGAUGACAAAAAAAAAAGGUCUCGUCAUUGUUAAUUAUUAUUCUAAUUGACUAUUCCCAUUAAAGCAAUCAUAGAGUUACUUAAGUUUGACAUUCAUAAAUUUAUGCGACUAUGAUUAAUUAU
rnacentral:sRNA from 1 species